UGGGAUGUAGCUCAGCUGGCAGAAUGCUUGCCUAGCAAGCAUGGAGCCCUGGGUUCAAGUCCUAGUUCCCUAU
rnacentral:tRNA from 1 species